rnacentral:rRNA from 1 species
GCCGGUGUUAAACCGGAGGAAGGUGGGAUGACGUCGAAGUCCUCAUGGCCCUUUUAUGCCCAGGGCUACACACGUGCUACAAUGGGUGGUACAAAGAGCAGCCAGCUCGCGAGAGUGAGCAAAUCUCAAAAAGACCAUCCUCAGUUCGGAUUGAAGUCUGCAACUCGACUUCAUGAAGUUGGAAUCGCUAGUAAUCGCGGAUCAGCAUGCCGCGGUCGAAUACGUUCCCGGGCCUU